AGGAUAAUAGUUAAAAAAUAACAUUUAAUUUGCACUUAAAAAUUAUUGAAAGCCAAUUUAUCUU
rnacentral:tRNA from 1 species